UACAGAGGGGGCAAGCGUUGUUCGGAAUUACUGGGCGUAAAGGGCGCGUAGGCGGCCCGCUAAGUCGAACGUGAAAUCCCCGAGCUCAACUCGGGAACUGCGUCCGAUACUGGCGGGCUUGAAUCCGGGAGAGGGAUGUGGAAUUCCAGGUGUAGCGGUGAAAUGCGUAGAUAUCUGGAGGAACACCGGUGGCGAAGGCGGCAUCCUGGACCGGUAUUGACGCUGAGGCGCGAAAGCCAGGGGAGCAAAGCGGG
rnacentral:rRNA from 1 species